UCUCUCUCUCUCUCUCUCUCUUCUUCUGUCUUUUCUUUCUCCUCUUUCUGCUUUACUCUUUCUUCUCUUUCUCUUCUCUCUUAUGUCGGAUUUGAAAUGGUUGCUAUGUAACCAAAAACAUCAUAACCAAAGUGCGAUAAAUCUUGUUUACGGAAUGUUGUUUUGAUUUCAAGCGAAAAAAGAGAUGUAAAUUCGUUUUUAAGUUGUGUUAUUCUCUCUUUAUAUGUAUUGUUUUAUGUAUAUGUUGGUUAUGAUUUUGCUAAAUUUUUUAAUGUUUUUUCCAGCAUCGGAUAUGGAUAACUCUGAGAUUGUAGCCGUCAAAAUGGUUUGCUUCUCAAGGUGAGUUGAUCUGUCUAGCAUAUUAUGAGCUCUAAAAAACAGACACAGUGGUUGACUCGAGGAAAUGUUCAUAUCCAUGUAAUUUCAAUGGAGAUUGUGUUGAUGGAAGUUGCCACUACUUUCUUGGAUUUCAUGGAUACGAUUGUAGUCGUAGUGAGUUAUGUUAUUCCACGUUGUAUUUUAACUCCAUAGUUCAUUUUGCUUUAUUUUUCUAGUUUUUAGUCUUCCUUUAAUGGUUGUGUGUUGUCGUAACUUAUUCCAGGUUCCUGUCCCAUAAAUUUCACUAGCAAUGUCUUAUGUCUCAAUAAUGGAAUAUGUGAAUGUAAACCUGAUUACACUAACAUUGGUUGCUCCACUGAUAAAUUUUUAUUCUAAACUAUGUGAAUGUAAAUCCUUUUCUUAUUUGUUAUUCA